GAGGAACCCGGUGUGAAUCCGGGGCGGUCCCGCCACUGUCACCGGGGAGCGACUCCUCACCUGAGGUCACGGCCGGGCAACCGGUGGGAAGGCCGGGGAGAAGCGACGAUCCGGGAGCCAGGACACUC
rnacentral:ncRNA from 2 species